AGAGUUUGAUCAUGGCUCAGAACGAACGCUGGCGGCAGGCCUCAAACAUGCAAGUCUAGGGGGUGUAGCAAUACAUCACCGGCGGACGGGUGCGUAACACGUGGAAAUGUACCUACUGGUUCGGAACAACGCAGGGAAACUUGCGCUAAUACCGAAUAAGCCCGAAAGGGGAAAGAUUUAUCGCCAGUAGAUCAGCCCGCGUAGGAUUAGCUAGUUGGUGAGGUAAUGGCUCACCAAGGCUCCGAUCCUUAGCUGUUCUGAGAGGAAGAUCAGCCACACUGGGACUGAGACACGGCCCAGACUCCUACGGGAGGCAGCAGUUGGGAAUCUUGGACAAUGGGGGAAACCCUGAUCCAGCCAUGCCGCGUGAGUGAUGAAGGCCUUCGGGUUGUAAAACUCUUUCGACGGGGACGAUAAUGACGGUACCCGUAGAAGAAGCUCCGGCUAACUUCGUGCCAGCAGCCGCGGUAAUACGAAGGGGGCUAGCGUUGUUCGGAAUUACUGGGCGUAAAGCGCGCGCAGGCGGUCUUCCAAGUCAGUGGUGAAAGCCUGGAGCUCAACUCCAGAACUGCCAUUGAAACUGUUAGACUUGAGUACGAGAGAGGUGAGUGGAAUUCCCAGUGUAGAGGUGAAAUUCGUAGAUAUUGGGAAGAACACCGGUGGCGAAGGCGGCUCACUGGCUCGUAACUGACGCUCAGGCGCGACAGCGUGGGGAUCAAACAGGAUUAGAUACCCUAGUAGUCC
rnacentral:rRNA from 1 species